UGAGGUGCUUGCACCUUAUCUUAGCGGCGGACGGGUGAGUAAUGCUUAGGAAUCUGCCUAUUAGUGGGGGACAACAUUCCGAAAGGAAUGCUAAUACCGCAUACGCCCUACGGGGGAAAGCAGGGGAUCUUCGGACCUUGCGCUAAUAGAUGAGCCUAAGUCGGAUUAGCUAGUUGGUGGGGUAAAGGCCUACCAAGGCGACGAUCUGUAGCGGGUCUGAGAGGAUGAUCCGCCACACUGGGACUGAGACACGGCCCAGACUCCUACGGGAGGCAGCAGUGGGGAAUAUUGGACAAUGGGCGGAAGCCUGAUCCAGCCAUGCCGCGUGUGUGAAGAAGGCCUUUUGGUUGUAAAGCACUUUAAGCGAGGAGGAGGCUACUUAGAUUAAUACUCUAGGAUAGUGGACGUUACUCGCAGAAUAAGCACCGGCUAACUCUGUGCCAGCAGCCGCGGUAAUACAGAGGGUGCGAGCGUUAAUCGGAUUUACUGGGCGUAAAGCGUGCGUAGGCGGCUGAUUAAGUCGGAUGUGAAAUCCCUGAGCUUAACUUAGGAAUUGCAUUCGAUACUGGUCAGCUAGAGUAUGGGAGAGGAUGGUAGAAUUCCAGGUGUAGCGGUGAAAUGCGUAGAGAUCUGGAGGAAUACCGAUGGCGAAGGCAGCCAUCUGGCCUAAUACUGACGCUGAGGUACGAAAGCAUGGGGAGCAAACAGGAUUAGAUACCCUGGUAGUCCAUGCCGUAAACGAUGUCUACUAGCCGUUGGGGCCUUUGAGGCUUUAGUGGCGCAGCUAACGCGAUAAGUAGACCGCCUGGGGAGUACGGUCGCAAGACUAAAACUCAAAUGAAUUGACGGGGGCCCGCACAAGCGGUGGAGCAUGUGGUUUAAUUCGAUGCAACGCGAAGAACCUUACCUGUCUUGACAUAGU
rnacentral:rRNA from 1 species